UUGUGCAGCCCACAGCAGAGCUUCAUCUUUCAGAUUGAUGAUUUGAGGCCUCCCACCUUGCGAAACUAGACCAGAUCAGCCCACAGCUCAUCCAGCCCAAGAAGCUGCUGCAGGACAUCAGUGAGCCCUGCCACCAGUAUCUGGAGAAGCUGGUCCUGCAGAAGGUGCUGGCAUCACUGAGCUCCAGGUAUUUGUGGAUCUGGCCUCCAUCUCAGCAAGAGAGAACAACAUUGAUGUGGAUCAGUGGCCUGCUUCCAUGAUGCUGUGCAGGACUACGUGUCUCUGCUGUAUAAGCCAGACAAGAAGGCAGGCUUCAGCAAGUUCAUGGAACUACUGAAAGAACUCUGGAAGGCUCUGCAAAAUGACCCCCAUCAGCCCAGUAAGCUGCGAGAUUCUGCCAGGAACUUGGAGUGGCUGAAGACAGUGAAGAAAAGCCAUGGGUCUAUCAAGUUCUCAUCCCUGUCCCUGGCCACAGUGAUCAACAGCAGAGGCAUAUGUGAGAUCAGGGCAUCCAGGUUCCAGAUGCGGUGUUGGUGGCACGCACUGGCCUGCUGCAGAGUCAGGGUUUCAGCCACCAGAAAAUGGCCUCUAAGAAUGUUGUGCCUCCCAGAUCUCCCCAGAUGCCAUCCUGUGCCUGAUCCUCCCUGGGGGUCACAGUGGCCUGGAGCCAGAUUUCUCCUACACUUUGGAAGAGCUGAAGAAUCUUUUAAACAAGCUGAUGCUGAUGUCUGGCAAGAAAGACCACAAGAGUAUGGAAGUAGAGAGGUUCUCUGAGGUGAGCAGGUGCCCCUGUUGCCUCAGGCUGGGCAUGCUCACUGCCCUGCUACCUGCAAAGGGGAAC
rnacentral:lncRNA from 1 species